AGGGGGAUAACACUUAGAAAUAGGUGCUAAGACCGCAUAAGCGCCCAGGGCCGCAUGGCCCAGGGUGAAAAACUCCGGUGGUAUAAGAUGGGCCCGCGUCUGAUUAGCCAGUUGGCAGGGUAACGGCCUACCAAAGCGACGAUCAGUAGCCGGCCUGAGAGGGUGGACGGCCACAUUGGGACUGAGACACGGCCCAAACUCCUACGGGAGGCAGCAGUGGGGGAUAUUGCACAAUGGGGGAAACCCUGAUGCAGCGACGCCGCGUGAGUGAAGAAGUAUUUCGGUAUGUAAAGCUCUAUCAGCAGGGAAGAAAGAAGACGGUACCUGAGUAAGAAGCCCCGGCUAACUACGUGCCAGCAGCCGCGGUAAUACGUAGGGGGCAAGCGUUAUCCGGAUUUACUGGGUGUAAAGGGAGCGUAGACGGCAAGGCAAGCCUGGAGUGAAAGGCGGGGGCCCAACCCCCGGACUGCUCUGGGAACUGUCUGGCUAGAGUGCAGGAGGGGUAAGUGGAAUUCCUAGUGUAGCGGUGAAAUGCGUAGAUAUUAGGAGGAACACCAGUGGCGAAGGCGGCUUACUGGACUGUAACUGACGUUGAGGCUCGAAAGCGUGGGGAGCAAACAGGAUUAGAUACCCUGGUAGUCCACGCCGUAAACGAUGAUCACUAGGUGU
rnacentral:rRNA from 1 species